rnacentral:rRNA from 1 species
GACGUAGGGGGGCAAGCGUUGUUCGGAAUUAUUGGGCGUAAAGCGCUCGUAGGCGGGACAGGAAGUUCGUGUUGAAAGACCUCGGCUCAACUGAGGGACCGGCUCGAAUACUCUUGUUCUUGAGGCAAUCAGAGGGUGAUGGAAUUCCCCGGUGUAGCGGUGAAAUGCGUAGAUAUCGGGAGGAACACCAGUGGCGAAGGGCGAUCACCUGGGGUUGUUCG